UACGGGGGGGGCAAGCGUUGUCCGGAAUUAUUGGGCGUAAAGAGCUCGUAGGCGGUCUGUUACGUCUGCUGUGAAAACCCUGGGCUUAACCCUGGGCUUGCAGUGGAUACGGGCAGACUAGAGGCAGGUAGGGGAGAAUGGAAUUCCCGGUGUAGCGGUGAAAUGCGCAGAUAUCGGGAGGAACACCAAUGGCGAAGGCAGCACUCUGGGACGGUACUGACGCUGAGACGCGAAAGCGUGGGGAGCAAACAGG
rnacentral:rRNA from 1 species